UAAUAAACUUAUCAUUUCACUGCAGAGGAAAUCAACGUAUUGAAAGAUAUUGACAAAAUAUUAGCGUUAUUAAAGAAGGUGUCCGAAAAAGUUUCUGGUGGCAAAUACGUUACAGUGUCAUUAAUAAUACCAUUGGCAUAUGGACUCUACCGGCAAAUUCAAAACCUUUCAACUCAGUUGGCAACUGCGGUAGGCGAAUCUAUGAAAGAUGCUAUGUUGGAGUCGAUUAAAAAACGACUAUCUAUAUAUGAGCCACACACGGUAACAAGGAUCGCUACGAUUUUGGAUCCUCGCUUUAAAAAAGAUGGGUUUCAAUUAAACGCAAAUGCUGAACAAGCAGCAAGUUUCCUGGAAAAUGAUUUGGUCAAUUUGGGCAAUUUGGAUCAGUUUGAAGACCCUGACAACUUGAGUGUGGAAGCAAGCACGACCACUAAGGACCCACUCUUUGAUUUUUUAAACCAACGAUGCGCUACUAAAAAGAGGAAUGUCCGAUCUGAUGCAAUCAUAAUUAAAAGGCAGUAUCUGGAGAGAGACAUUGCCAUACAAGAAAUGGACCCUCUUUUGUGGAUCAAGAUUUAAUUACAGGUCAAGCAGGCGGAUUUUCCUUUAUUAAAAUCACUGAUGUUUAAAUAUUUAUGCAUCCCCGCAACGUCUGUGGAGUCGGAAAGAGUUUUUAGCAAGGCGGGACAAAUUGUUUCGGAUAGGCGAACACGCCUUAAAGAAGAAAAUGUGAACGCUUUGCUGUUUUUGAACAAAAAUCUUUCGCUACAAUAAAAAUAAAUGUAAAUAUCUCUAUUAAAUAUUAAA